UCCCAGGUGGUGAAACGGUAUCACACCGGACUUUGAAUCCGAGAUUCCUGGUUCGAGCCCAGGCCUGGGAA
rnacentral:tRNA from 1 species